rnacentral:rRNA from 1 species
GUGCUAAGGUAGCAUAAUCAUUUGUCUUCUAAUUAAAGACUGGAACAAAAGAUUUAACAUUUCCACUAAUAUUAAUAAUCUAAUAUUCUAAAUUAAUAUUAAUAUUAAAAAGUAUUAAUAUAUAAGAAAGACGAUAAGACCCUAUUGAACUUUACUUAAGUUUAACUGGGGCAGUUUAAUAAAUAAUAUUUUAAAUAUUAAAAUAAUCAAUAAAAAAGCUAUUAAAAUUAAUAAAUCAGUUACCAUAGGGAUAACAGCGUUAUAAUUAUUAUAAGUUCUUAUAUAAAUAAAAGAUUACGACCUCGAUGUUGAAUUUAUACCCUAUUUCAUUAAAGCAAACUUUAAAAAAGGAAGUCUGUUCGACUUUUAAAAAAUAACAUGAUUUGAGUUCAGACCGGUGUAAGCCAGGUCGGUUUCCAUCUUCUAAUAAUAUAUUUUACAGUACGAAAGGACCUAAAAAACUAAUUAAAUUAAUUUAAUUGGCAGAUAAAUGCAUUAGAAUUAGAAUCUAAUAAAACUUAA